UGAAGUUUUACAGAGAGUAUGCUAUUCCUUAAUUUUCUUCUUAGCUGCAGAGCUUUUAGGGUCACUGAGCAGACCUUUAAGUGAGAGUCAAGGAAAUUUGGAAAUGCCUCACUGAUUUUUAUCAAUUGUUUCCAUUCUUUCCUUUCAAAAAAUAUACAGGGGCCAUGAAAUCACUUGUUCAAAUCCUGAUGAAAGUGUUAGAAAGGCUCAUUGCUUUCUUCCUUCCUUGCUGUCAUCAACCCUCCAGCAUUCAGCUAGACCACAGUUUUUCACUGAUUAUUAAAGUGGUUGAUUCUGGAGGACUGUUCACAACUGGAAAUCUAAAGAUUUUUCUCAUCAAUGUAAACAAUAAGGACCCCGUUCUUACCUGCAGAUGGCAUGAUAAUUUCCAACCAGGGGAGAGACCAAAGAUUGUCUGGGAAAAUGCUCUUCUCUCUCCAACAAGGCUCUCUCUGGAUCAAUUAUGAUUUGAUGGAUAUACAUGUGUGAGUCUCCACCUGCCACCACCUGGGCUUUUAAGAAAAAAAAAAAAAGAAACAGCAUUUAUUAACUUUGUUUUCAAAAUUGGAUUGAAUCAAUUUGUAUUCGAUCUGCCUCUGCCCAAACCAAGAAAAAUCGGUAAGUUAGUGUUUGUUUUCCCUUGUUUAGUUGUUUUGGGUCUCAGUUUCAGAUGUAUCUGGGAGAAUGAAUGCAUGAACUGGAGAUGACAGUCGUCAUUGGAGAGAGAGCUACAAAGAGUGUCCACAGGGGCAGGACUGUGCAACCUGACCCCUCUUUGUGUCAUAAUCAAUUUGACUCCAAACUCCAGAUGCUCUCUCCUGUUGUACUGACCAUCUUCAAUUUAGUAAUAAUCAUUGUAUUAGCUUCCUGAGGCUGCCAUCACAAAUUAGCACAAACUUAGUGUCUUAAAGCAACAGAAAUGUAUUCUGUCACAGGUCUGCUGGCUAGAAUUCCGAAAUGAAGUUUUUGGCAGGACCACAUGGCCUUUGAAGGCUCUAGGGGAAAAUCUGUUCCUUGCCACUUUCAGCUCCUAGUGUCUGACCCUGAUUCCUAGACCGUGGCUGCAUCCCUCUAAUCUCAGUCUCCCCCUUCACAUCUCUUUUCCCUUUGUGUAUCUAUCAAGUUUCCCUCUUAUAAGAAUGCCUAUCUUUGGAUUUAGG
rnacentral:lncRNA from 1 species